GGCCACACUGGGACUGAGACACGGCCCAGACUCCUACGGGAGGCAGCAGUAGGGAAUCUUCCGCAAUGGACGAAAGUCUGACGGAGCAACGCCGCGUGAGUGAUGAAGGCUUUCGGGUCGUAAAACUCUGUUGUUAGGGAAGAACAAGUGCUAGUUGAAUAGCGGCCCUUGACGGUACCUAACCAGAAAGCCACGGCUAACUACGUGCCAGCAGCCGCGGUAAUACGUAGGUGGCAAGCGUUAUCCGGAAUUAUUGGGCGUAAAGCGCGCGCAGGUGGUUUCUUAA
rnacentral:rRNA from 1 species